UUCUAAUAGAUAUAACCAUUAGUAAAAUCUGCUCAAUGAAGUUCAAUAGCCGCAAUAUUCUUGUGCAAAGGUAGCAUAAUCAUUUGUCUUUUAAUUAAAGACUAGAACGAAAGAUUUAACAUUUUUAUUUCUAUCUAAUAUACAAUUAUUAAAUUUAUUCUAAACAUUAAAAAAUGCUUAUGUUUUAAGAAGACGACAAGACCCUAUUGAACUUAACUAAAGUUAAACUGGGGCAGUUAAUUAAAUAUAAUUUUAAUUUAAAUACCAAAGACAACCUAAUACAAUUAAAAAUAUCAAGUUACCAUAGGGAUAACAGCGUAAUAAUUUUCAUAAGCUCUUAUUUUAAAAAUUGUUUGCGACCUCGAUGUUGAAUAAUAAUCUAUUAAAUGCAAUAACUUAAUAAGAAAGUCUGUUCGACUUUUAAUCAAUUACA
rnacentral:rRNA from 1 species